rnacentral:rRNA from 1 species
GUGGGGAAUCUUCCGCAAUGGACGAAAGUCUGACGGAGCGACGCCGCGUGAGUGAAGAAGGCCUUCGGGUCGUAAAGCUCUGUCAUCAGGGACGAACGGCCGGUGGAGUGGAAAGCCACCGGAUUGACGGUACCUGAGAAGGAAGCCACGGCUAACUACGUGCCAGCAGCCGCGGUAAUACGUAGGUGGCAAGCGUUGUCCGGAAUUAUUGGGCGUAAAGCGCGCGCAGGUGGGAUCUUAAGUCCAUUUUUAAAGUUCGGAGCUCAACUCCGUGAUGGGAUGGAAACUGGGAUUCUUGAGUACCGGAGAGGAAAGCGGAAUUCCCGGUGUAGCGGUGAAAUGCGUAGAGAUCGGGAGGAACACCAGUGGCGAAGGCGGCUUACUGGACUGUAACUGACGCUGAGGCGCGAAAGUGUGGGGAGCAAACAGGAUUAGAAACCCCUGUAGUCC